rnacentral:rRNA from 1 species
CUACGGGCCACAGCAGUGGGGAAUAUUGCACAAUGGGCGCAAGCCUGAUGCAGCCAUGCCGCGUGUAUGAAGAAGGCCUUCGGGUUGUAAAGUACUUUCAGCGGGGAGGAAGGGAGUAAAGUUAAUACCUUUGCUCAUUGACGUUACCCGCAGAAGAAGCACCGGCUAACUCCGUGCCAGCAGCCGCGGUAAUACGGAGGGUGCAAGCGUUAAUCGGAAUUACUGGGCGUAAAGCGCACGCAGGCGGGUUGUUAAGUCAGAUGUGAAAUCCCCGGGCUCAACCUGGGAACUGCAUCUGAUACUGGCGAGCUUGAGUCUCGUAGAGGGGGGUAGAAUUCCAGGUGUAGCGGUGAAAUGCGUAGAGAUCUGGAGGAAUACCGGUGGCGAAGGCGGCCCCCUGGACGAAGACUGACGCUCAGGUGCGAAAGCGUGGGGAGCAAACAGGAUUAGAUACCCCUGUAGUC